UUCCCCUUCCUAUGACAUCCUUACCAUUUGGCCUCAUCAUCUUUUACUGUCUCAAUUCGAUUUGCCUACUUUUCCUUGCGAUUUUUCACAUUUUAAUGCGAGGGUGCAUAGAGCUUUGGUUCGGGUGCCCACACCAUCACCCUUGUUGACCUUUGUUGGUCUUUCCUGGUGUUCGCCCUUGUUAGUGAUGUCACUCAUCAGAUAUUUCUUCCUGCAGGUUUCCUUUGUUUCUGGGUGGCAUUCGUUUUGGUGGUUUGUGGAUAAUGGUGCAACCUUCUUCUUCAUCUUCAACUUUGGUUUUCUGGAUGGUGAUAAAGGUUGGCUUCUAAGCUUCGUUCUGAGGUGUGUAUGCGGUGGAGGGAGUUUCUAUGGUAGCUUUAGAAAUUUAGGGUUGUGUUUUGUGUGUGCUCGACUACACUAUAUACUUGGGGUUGUUUGUUUUUUAUUUUUUGAGGUCCAUGUUGUUUUUGUAACUAUUGUGGUUUCCUUGUGUAUAACGUUUCGGUGUAAUAUUUUCUUGUUGGUAAUAAAUUUAGCUUUUCACUUUAUAAAAAAUUAAAAAAAAAAAAAAAAAAAAAAACCUUUAUGUUAAGGUUCCUAU
rnacentral:lncRNA from 1 species